UCCGCCCCGCCGCUCCGCCCUGCCGUCGCCGCCCCGCCGUCACGGCCCCUCCUCUCCGCCCCUCGUCUCCGUCCCACCGUCCGCGCCCCAUCCAGCUCCGCCCCUCACCCGGAGCCGGCCAGCCACGCCCCCGCCGACCUCCGCCCCGCCGCUCCAUCCCACCAUCGCCGGCCCACCCAGCUCCGCCAAUCCUCUCCAUUCUCGAUCUACAUUUGUAUGCUGCUAGAUUUUGUGCAUCUCAACAGAGAACCUGGGGUAGUAAAUACGACUCUAGCUAAGGAGAGCAUUCCUUGUGUGCCAAAAAAAGAAACUUCCACAGGCAGCAGCACUGGCAAACUCCUCUACAUCGUCAUGGUCUCCACAUGAAGCCCCUCGGUACCUGCUGCGUACAACUCCUGCAAGACCCUGAAGGUCUUCACGAUGAAUGAGGUGGCUAUCAACAAGUGAAGGUCAAUCGUAAAGAUUUUUUCCAGAUCGCUGAUUACAGAAGCUGGGACCACUGAUCACUGUUAUGGUCUGAAAAUGAAAGGAAAGUCAAGCUCUGAAAAUUCGAGCAACACCAGCACCUCACCAGCAAGGUUGAACGAUGAGUGGUCUACAUGGUGGGACAUGGGUGCAACCAUUGGUGUGUUAGCUGCGUAUGCAUCGUCUACCUCAAGUGCAUGUGGCGUGCAAGAUGGUCCGUUGCACUUGCAGGAGUUGACUGGGCGUCAAUGGGUUGCUAUUAACCUUGCUGACAGUAAGAAGUGCUACAAAAAUUUCCAUCUCCAUCCAUCUGCAUUCCAGUUGUUGCAUUCAAUCUUAGUGUCCAACCAUGGGCUAAAAUCCACACGACAAUGUGAUUCAGUUGAGGCAUUAGGGAUGUUCCUAUGGGCAUGUGGCACAAGACAAUGCCAGAGACAAAUGUCGGAUAGAUUUCGUAGGUCACUGGACACCGUGAGUCGGAAGUUCGGUGAAGUGUUAGAUGCCGUGGUCUCUUUUGCACGUACUAUUAUUAGGCCAAUGGAUCCACUGUUUAGGUACGUGCAUCCUAAGCUGCAUCAAUUCUCACCAUAUUUUGAUGGGUGCAUAGGAGCUAUAGAUGGAACCCACAUUCCGGUGUCAGUCCCUGAGCACGCACAUGAUGAUUUUAUCAAUAGAAAGGGGUUCACCAGCUAGAAUGUCUUAGCUGUUUGUGACAUGGGCAUGAGGUUCACAUUUGUCGCUACGGGGAAGAAGGGUGCUGUGCAUGACACUGCUGUUUUGAGGGAGGCUUUAAACCAAGCUGAGCAUUUCCCUCAUCCACCCCAAGGAAAGUACUAUUUGGUGGAUUCUGGUUACCCACUGCGUGAGGGUUAUAUGGCGCCAUAUCGCAAGGGCAGGUACCAUUUAUCGGAGUUUAAUGCUAAAGGUCCUGAGAAUUUGAAUGAAAUUUUUAACUACCAUCAUUCGUGCCUUCGGAAUGUUGUGGAACGAUCUUUUGGAGUGUUAAAGAAUAAGUGGCAGAUUCUAAGAGGUAUACCGUUAUAUAAUAUGGAGAAGCAAUCAAAGAUUAUUGUUGCAUGCUUUGCGCUACACAAUUUUGCAUUGGACAACAACGAACCGGGAUUGGAUGGUGCUGACAUGUUUGCUCAUGGGACCUAUCUUAGUAGGACAAGUGAUGAAAAUGAUCCUGCAUCAGAUUGGUUUGCCGCUACUGCCAACGAUGAUAUUAGUAAAGUUCGUGAUUGGAUUGCAGCGGGACUUUAUGGGUUGACAUGACGGAGAUAUUUUCUCCAUUUGCUAAUUUGUUGUUAUGAAUAUAACCUAUCAAUUUCUUUCUAAUUUGUUGUUGUUGUGAUGUUGUUGUGACUUGAGAAAGCACUGAUCAACUAUUGUAGUGCUGAAAUGUUCUAAUUGUAUGCCCUGU